AGGUGGGGGGGGGGGCAGACCAGGCUGCCCCCAGGAGGGAGGGGCCUGGUCUUUGUUACACUCUGAUGCAGGUCACAGGUCUGGGACUUAGCCAGUCCUGCUUCCUGUCCACAGGCCCCAAGAAAGGCCUCAAGGGAAGCCAUGCCGCCCUGCUGCAGGAAUGAGGCCUGGUGCUAUAAUAAACGGGGGCCGCUGGGGCCUUUAAAGUCUGGGGUCUUCUGGAACCCGCCUGCCCCUCAUGGACAGCUACAGUUCCAGGAAGACCUGGCAGCUAGGUGCCAACUCCUGGGAACACACUGAACUUCACCACUGUGCGGUGGGCACGCAAGGUGCCAGAUUUCAUCUGAUAUGAAGACCGGGCAGGCAGGAAGACGAGAAGUUCCCAUUUCCCCCAAAGAAACACUGCCAAGGGAAUCCACAGAGGAAAUCAGAGAAGCUUCAGCCGCCCGGGCUACGCUGGUUUCGCACAUCCACAGCGCCAGCGAUCAUGGUGCACUAUCUGCCUCCCUUCCUCGGAGACGAGUCUCAUACCUACAGUCACCGGACAUUGUUGAAGAUCAAGAAUUAAAAAAAAAAAAAAAAAAAAA